GAUGAACGCUGGCGGCGUGCCUAAUACAUGCAAGUCGAGCGAACGGACGAGAAGCUUGCUUUUCUGAUGUUAGCGGCGGACGGGUGAGUAACACGUGGAUAACCUACCUAUUAGACUGGGAUAACUUCGGGAAACCGGAGCUAAUACCGGCUAAUAUUUUGAACCGCAUGGUUCAAAAGUGAAAGACGGUCUUGCUGUCACUUAUAGAUGGAUCCGCGCUGCAUUAGCUAGUUGGUAAGGUAACGGCUUACCAAGGCAACGAUGCAUAGCCGACCUGAGAGGGGGAUCGGCCACACUGGAACUGGGACACGGUCCGAACUCCUACGGGAGGCGGCGGUGGGAAAUCUUCCGCAAUGGGCGAAAGCCUGACGGGGCAUCGCGGCUGGGGUGAUGAGGGUCUUCGGAUCGUAAAACUCUGUUAUUAGGAAAAAACAUAUGGUAAGAAUCUGUGAACGUCUUGACGGUACCUAAUGAGAAAGCCACGGCUAACUACGUG
rnacentral:rRNA from 1 species